UUUAUUUCAUCCUGUAUAAAAUGGCAAGAAUGACAAUUUCAACGGCUGCAUAGAAUGACAGAGGGACUUCACAGAUGAAAUAAAUAAUAUUAGAAAAGCUCUUAGCCCAGAACCCUCAGUGCCCAGUAGAUCUCUGAGAGAAGUGGGAAAACACUGGAAAGUUCUGAGCUGAAGAGUGACAUGUUCUAAUUUAUGUUUUUAAAGGACAGCUUCAGUUUGCUGAGACUAGACUGUGGCAAGUCAGAGUAGCACCCCUUGGGAAGAUCAGCUUUUUCUGCAUCUUCAGCUAACGGUGGCACUGAGCUCUCACCAAAUUCCAGUUCCAAAUCCCCAGGGAAAGGAAUCCAACUGGCCCCUGCCAAGUGCAGGGUUCUGACCACCAUGCUGAGGAUGAAGAUGAAGACAGCAUAAGCUCUGCCUCUAGAAACUGACAAUCUGCAUGGAGAGGAAAGACAUAUGCAGCUCUUCGGAAAAGGCCCUAAGAAGCCAUCAAAGAUAUGUCAUGGAGGAAGCCAUCGAAGAGGAAAGAGGAAGCUUUGUAACAGUUUACCUGGGAGGAAUAACAAGCUGCCAUAUGAAUACUGAUGAGAAAGGA
rnacentral:lncRNA from 10 species